rnacentral:misc_RNA from 1 species
GGCUCCAGAAGGAAGCUUGAUCCUAGACAAAUAUAAUUGACAGCCACCAAAAGGGUAAAGUUAGCAGUCAAUUACAAGUAACAAACUCAGUAAACUAUAAUUUCAGAGGCAACAAAACUAAAGGGAUAAAUAGGCAUAAAAGCACAAAAAAAUACCAUUCCUUUUCAAUUGUGACCAUGUCUUAUAUAUUAAUGAUAGAGUUGAUUAAUUUCAGCAUUGUAACUCAGGAGCCAAUCUCUCUUCGUCUAGGCAUGUACCUCACUGAAUUGGACUUUGGCUACAAUUACUAACGUUUCAAAAGUCCAUGGGACCCAUCAAUGUACUUCAAUGAAGAGGCUACAAUUGAAAACAUGAGUAUAAUUUUAGAUUUGUUUUGGCCAUCAACUCAAAACAAAAUUUUUGCUUUAAAAAUUAAACAGCAUGACCAGCUGAAAAUGCUUAUUAAAUUUGCUGCCAGCUCAACACGACUGCUACUUAUAUAAUGCAAUUUUAGUUGUAAAGUUCCAAGCAUUUCAGACAUCCAAUUUACAUAUUAAUCAAAUAAAAAUAUUAACACCAAAAUGCGAUAACUUUCAAGGAGAGCAUAUCCACAGUGAUCUAACUUCAUAAACUAUCGAAGGAUUAUAAAUGCUAUAGAACAUCACCGCCCAUUCAAAUUGGGGCUAAUAUAAAGAAACUGUAAUCCGUAAACAUUAUAGACAGUAAUUCAGUAGGUAAGCAGAAUCAUCUCAAUCUCAUAGACAUGGAACACCCAUCCUACAAGACCAUUUUAUUGGAAGUGAGUGGUUAAGAAAUCUACUAGCAGUCUUACAAAAAAUCGAACAACUACUCAAGUGCAAAGCAUCCUCCCUUGCUAAGCUACGGUUCCCAAACUAUGGAGAUAGGAACACUAUAAUUCUUGCAAACAUUACCAAAAGACAGGGAACUAUCAGUAGAACAGAAAUCUAACAGCUGCAUCACCACUCACAAGAUCCAUUAAAAAAUAAAUAUCUCCUGGUCAUAGAGAACCAAAAUAAUUAAGGUAUGGCUAACCACCUAUGCCAUAAACUUCCAUCAGUUACAUCUACUAAUGAUUGGAUCCAAAACAUAUUAUCUUAAACUGGCAACAUUAAGAGUCUAUUCACUUAUGGAAAAGUUGAUUAGUUUUCUAGAAAAAUUUUCAAAGAAAAUUGGAAAAUCAAAGUUCAAUGUUCAAAUGCACCCAUUUUCUAAACGGAGAAAUGGAAAAAUUAGUUUUGGUUUUCCAAAAUUUAACCAAGAUUUGAAAAAUAGUUUUAAGUUGUUUUUAACUGUUUUUCUUUGUUACAAAAAUUCUAUUGUUCUACUUUUUUCAAAUAGAAAAUAAUGGCUUUUCUGUAAUUAAAAUUAUACUACAAUUUUUCAUAAUUAAAAUUGAAUAAUUAUUUA